AACGAACGCUGGCGGCAUGCCUAACACAUGCAAGUCGAACGGGCAGGGGCAACCCUGUCAGUGGCGGACGGGUGAGUAACGCGUGGGGACCUGCCUCGAAGUUCGGAAUAACCGCGGGAAACUGCGGCUAAUACCGGAUGUGGCCUGAGGGCCAAAGGGGAAACUCGCUUCGAGAGGGGCCCGCGUCCGAUUAGCUAGUUGGCGGGGUAACGGCCCACCAAGGCGACGAUCGGUAGCUGGUCUGAGAGGAUGAUCAGCCACACUGGGACUGAGACACGGCCCAGACUCCUACGGGAGGCAGCAGUGGGGAAUAUUGGACAAUGGGGGCAACCCUGAUCCAGCAAUGCCGCGUGAGUGAUGAAGGCCUUCGGGUUGUAAAGCUCUUUUGGCGGGGACGAUGAUGACGGUACCCGCAGAAUAAGCCCCGGCUAACUUCGUGCCAGCCGCCGCGGUAAUAC
rnacentral:rRNA from 1 species